rnacentral:lncRNA from 1 species
AAUGUCAAAUUUAGUUUUUUGACAUGUAUAAAAUUCUUUGUAAUCAUCUCAGUCAAAUACUUGGAAGUACGAUAUAGAAUAGAUAUUUCGAAAUGGAUGAGCGUGUGUUUCGCUUUAUCAAGCUGGGAGCAUGCUUUGUAUUAAUUUCAGCCGGACUUAACUUCCUAAGAAGCAUAUAAAUUUGAGCUACACACGCAGGGAAUCAAAAAUGUAAUAUUUUAUACUUGUAGAGAAAAUAAAGCUGCAUAUAAAAAA